rnacentral:rRNA from 1 species
UAAUACGGGGGGAGCAAGCGUUGUUCGGAUUUACUGGGCGUAAAGGGCGCGUAGGCGGCGCCGCAAGUCACUUGUGAAAUCUCCGGGCUCAACUCGGAACGGUCAAGUGAUACUGCGGUGCUAGAGUGCGGAAGGGGCAACUGGAAUUCUUGGUGUAGCGGUGAAAUGCGUAGAUAUCAAGAGGAACACCUGCGGCGAAGGCGGGUUGCUGGGCCGACACUGACGCUGAGGCGCGAAAGCUAGGGGAGCGAACGGGAUUAGAUACCCCGGUAGUCCUAGCCUUAAACGAUGAAUGCUUGGUGUCCGGAGUUAGAUAGUCUCCGGGUGCCGUCGCUAACGCUUUUAGCAUUCCGCCUGGGGAGUACGGUCGCAAGACU